rnacentral:rRNA from 1 species
ACCAGACUCCUACGGGAGGCAGCAGUGAGGAAUAUUGGUCAAUGGGCGCGAGCCUGAACCAGCCAAGUAGCGUGAAGGAUGACUGCCCUACGGGUUGUAAACUUCUUUUAUAAAGGAAUAAAGUGAGGCACGUGUGCCUUUUUGUAUGUACUUUAUGAAUAAGGAUCGGCUAACUCCGUGCCAGCAGCCGCGGUAAUACGGAGGAUGCGAGCGUUAUCCGGAUUUAUUGGGUUUAAAGGGUGCGCAGGCGGCACGGCAAGCCGGCGGUCAAAUCGCGGGGCUCAACCCCGCCCAGCCGUCGGAACUGCCGGGCUAGAGUGGGCGAGAAGUGCGCGGAAUGCGUGGUGUAGCGGUGAAAUGCAUAGAUAUCACGCAGAACCCCGAUUGCGAAGGCAGCCUUCCGGCGCCCUACUGACGCUGAGGCACGAAGGUGCGGGGAUCGAACAGGAUUAGAUACCCGUGUAUAA